rnacentral:rRNA from 1 species
AAUAAAUACCUUACAGAGGUCUCGUUAACCGAGAUCUCUCAAACGGAAUGAGUACAACGUGAAUCCUUUAACGAGGAUCGACUGGAGGGCAAGCCUGGUGCCAGCAGCCGCGGUAAUUCCAGCUCCAGUAGCGUAUAUUAAAGCUGUUGCGGUUAAAAAGCUCGUAGUUGGAUAUCAGUGCGUGUCCGGUCCGGUAUGCCUGGCGGCGUCGCUCGCGCGGCACUGCUGGGCUCCCAAAUAUCGGCUGGCCGCAUUCAAUCGUGCCGGAUCCGUCGACGGGCCGUUCUUCGGAGGGGCCUGUUGGCGACCGGCGACGUUACCUUGAACAAAUUAGAGUGCUCAAAGCAGGCUCUGAAUGCCUGUAUACAUAUUCAUGGAAUUGGAGAAUACGUCCCUGGCUCGAUUUGGUUGGUUUUGAGAGUCGAAGGGAAAUGAUUAAUAGGGACUGACGGAGGCAUUCGUAUUGCGACGCGAGGGGUGAAAUCCUGUGACCGUCGCACGACGAACUACUGCGAAAGCAUUUGCCGAGAAUGUUUUCAUUAGUCAAGAACGAAAGUUAGAGGUUCGAAGGCGAUCAGAUACCGCCCUAGUUCUAACCGUAAACGAUGUCGACCAGCAAUCCGCAACGGUCACUACACGGACUGUGCGGGCAGCUUCCCCGGGGAAACCAGAGUUUUUGGACUCCGGGGGAAGUAUGGUUGCAAAGCUGAAACUUAAAGGAAUUGACGGAAGGGCACCACCAGGAGUGGAGCUUGCGGCUUAAUUUGACUCAACACGGGACAACUCACCAGGCCCGGACACCGUAAGGAUUGACAGACUGAUAGCUCUCUCUUGAUUCAGUGGGUGGUGGUGCAUGGCCGUUCUUAGUUGGUGGAGUGAUUUGUCUGGUUUAUUCCGAUAACGAACGAGACUCUGGCCUAUUAAACU